GAUGAACGCUGGCGGCGUGCCUAAUACAUGCAAGUCGUACGGAAAGGCCCUUCGGGGUACUCGAGUGGCGGACGGCUGAGUAACGCGUGGGAACGUGCCCCAAAGUGAGGGAUAACGCACCGAAAGGUGUGCUAAUACCGCAUAUGGUCUUCGGAUUAAAGCUUCGGCGCUUUGGGAGCGGCCCGCGUACGAUUAGAUAGUUGGUGAGGUAAUGGCUCACCAAGUCGACGAUCGUUAGCUGGCCUGAGAGGAUGAUCAGCCAGACUGGGACUGAGACACGGCCCCGACUCCUACAGGAGGCAGCAGUAAGGAAUCUUCCACAAUGGGGGCAACCCUGAUGGAGCAACGCCGCGUGCAGGAUGAAGGUUUUCGGAUCGUAAACUGCUUUUAUAAGUGAAGAAUAUGACGGUAACUUAUGAAUAAGGAUCGGCUAACUACGUGCCAGCCGCCGCCGUAA
rnacentral:rRNA from 1 species